CGGGGUGCACCAGGCGCGAAAACUUUACAAUGCGGGAAACCGUGAUAAGGGGACACCGAGUGCCAGCAUCAUAUGCUGGCUGUCCAGGUGUGUAAAAUACACCUGUUAGCAAGGGCCGGGCAAGACCGGUGCCAGCCGCCGCGGUAACACCGGCGGCCCGAGUGGUGAUCGUGAUUAUUGGGUCUAAAGGGUCCGUAGCCGGUUUGGUCAGUCCUCCGGGAAAUCUGAUAGCUCAACUAUUAGGCUUUCGGGGGAUACUGCCAGACUUGGAACCGGGAGAGGUAAGAGGUACUACAGGGGUAGGAGUGAAAUCUUGUAAUCCCUGUGGGACCACCUGUGGCGAAGGCGUCUUACCAGAACGGGUUCGACGGUGAGGGACGAAAGCUGGGGGCACGAACCGGAUUAGAUACCCGGGUAGUCCCGGCCGUAAACGAUGCUCGCUAGGUGUCAGACAUGGCGCGACCGUGUCUGGUGCCGCAGGGAAGCCGUGAAGCGAGCCACCUGGGAAGUACGGCCGCAAGGCUGAAACUUAAAGGAAUUGGC
rnacentral:rRNA from 1 species